GACUAUAUUACAUGGAUUUAUUGUGAUGGUGUAGGUAGACUAUAUUACAUGGAUUUAUUGUGAUGGUGUAGACUAUAUUACAUGGAUUUAUUGUGAUGGUGUAGGUAGACUAUAUUACAUGGAUUUAUUGUGAUGGUGUAGACUAUAUUACAUUGAUUUAUUGUGAUGGUGUAGACUAUAUUACAUGGAUUUAUUGUGAUGGUGUAGGUAGACUAUAUUACAUGGAUUUAUUGUGAUGGUGUAGGUAGACUAUAUUACAUGGAUUUAUUGUGAUGGUGUAGGUAGACUAUAUUACAUGGAUUUAUUGUGAUGGUGUAGGUAGACUAUAUUACAUGGAUUUAUUGUGAAGGUGUAGGUAGACUAUAUUACAUGGAUUUAUUGUGAUGGUGUAGACUAUAUUACAUGGAUUUAUUGUGAUGGUGUAGGUAGACUAUAUUACAUGGAUUUAUUGUGAUGGUGUAGACUAUAUUACAUGGAUUUAUUGUGAUGGUGUAGACUAUAUUACAUGGAUUUAUUGUGAUGGUGUAGGUAGACUAUAUUACAUGGAUUUAUUGUGAUGGUGUAGGUAGACUAUAUUACAUGGAUUUAUUG
rnacentral:lncRNA from 1 species